UUCCCAGCCUUAUUUCAAAAAAUGUGAGAAGGCAAUAAGGAUUUGUAGUGUGAAAGGCAUGACCUUUAUCUGCAAUCAAUUCCCAUUGUUAGGCUUCGGACCUAUUAGUUUAGGUACACAGGUUUCUUUUUCAAGGAAUAGCUUUUAUUUUAACUAUCCUACCCUCAAAGUGCAGAGCAAAUCUCUCUCCUCAAAGCUCUCACAUGCUACUUGAAAAGGAAGAUAAAGAUUUUCAUGGAGAAAGGCUCCUUAAUGAUAGAAUAGAAGGCUUUUCAUUCUAAGAGAGAAAGGAGUAUGGUAAAGGUUGGAAAUUUGACUGAUGCCUAUGGCCUUGGACAGUAUCAAAUGAAAGAAUUAAAUUUUUUUUACUGUCUUGAGAAGAAAGAGAUACAAACAAAUCAACAAACAAACUUUACUAAAAUACACAUUCCUCCAGUUUUAGGUUUCUAAAAAGUAGUAAUUAUGCUUACAUCAAGGUUUACAGAUAGCAAACAACUGUUUUAAUGUGUAAAAGUAUUAUCCCUUUGCUUUACUAUGUUAGUUUCACUUUCUUUGAAGGAAUUGUAUCUGUGCACACUUGUCCUAAAGUCCAGUGCAGAAAAUAAACUGGUUUGCUACCAGCCUCAAUCUCGGAACAUUUCCUAAGCUAUAUUUGCAAAUCCUAAAACUACAUAUCUGUAAAAUGAGAUGCAGAGUUUCUGAAAUGCAUUGUGGUGGCAGGGGUGGGGUGGGAUGGGGGAGAAAGCAAGCUCUGAAUGGAGGAAAAGAAACAAAUCUCUUCUUAUCCUCCCCAAUACAUACUAUAAUGUUUCUGACCAUUAUUCUGCUGCAUUAGUUACUGUGAGGGCUACUGGUGCUCCUGACAGGUGUCAGCUUAGAAAAGCAGGAGGCUCAUAAGCAAUAAGAAAUUCACAUCCUGGAGUCUCCAGAAUAUUAAACAGGCUUUAGACAUUAAUCUAGACUAAUGCAGAGGUUGUAGUGAGAAAUCCCAGGUCUCAGGGUUAGAGCCCUUCUUGGGGAACUAGAAUGAACAAUGUCAAGAAGGCAUUCUGGAGGAAUCCUUGUGAUAAACUGGACCACACGGGACCUAUCAGAACUGGAUCCUCUCCUCCUCCACAUUAUACUUUACAUGAUGCUACUUAGGAUUUAAAAGAGAGUCUUUUAUUCUUUGAGAAGCCAAAGGCUGAGGAGAGGAGUACUUCAGAUGAAGAGUACUUUAAAAAAAAAGAUAGAGGAAAUCAGAACAGACAAAGGACAGCAAGGAGAUAGAAAUAAUGGGAAGAAUGUGUGAAAUGAAGAUCAUAGCCCUAGGCAACAUAAAUACUGGCUUUAAGAAGUUCUGAUUUCCUAUGAGAAUAGAAACUUGGAAAGGCUUUUGAACCUCUUUUAAUUUAUUUUUAAAAAAUGUGUUGACUUGAGUGCUUUUCUAUAUAUUUUUUGGCUAUGCCCUCAGCAUGCAAAGUUCUGGGGCCAGGGAUCAAACCUGCACCAGAACCAUAGCAGGGACAAUGCCAGAUCCUUAACCCAGAGAGCCACCAGGUAACUCCUGAACGUCUUUAUCUCAUUGCUCUCUGCAGUGUGAGAUGAUGUGAAAAACUGGCUUGACUAAGAUAAAAUCUGGCUCAUGCCUCAAGUCUAAUUAAGAAUACAUUUCUGAUAUUAAUGUUGCUUCUGUCUGUCAGUGGAUACAGUAAGAAAUGAAAGCAUGCCCUUGUGUGCUCAAAACCAGGUAGUGCUCUAAAUGCCACAGAAGCUGAGCAGUAAGGCGGUGUCACAAUAAGAGUGCUGGACUGGGACCCCUGCAGAGUUGUUAAGAUCAAGUCAUAAACAUCCUGUAAAGGGACAGACCCAAAGCUGUACCAGUCUUUGGGCGAUGUUCUGGCAACCUGACAGUUGUAAGUCAUUGAAAUGGCAUCUAGCAUGAUGACCGAAUUACAUGGUGAAUGCUUAGGUACUGGGGAGUGUAUUACAUGGCCCAUCAAGUAUCUGUUCAGCCUUGUUAUUAUUUUAUUUAAGCACAUAUUAAGUUCAGGUUUAAAAAAAAUCUGGUUGCAAAAUAGACACUUUAGAAACUAUGGAUCUUUUUAUCCCUUAGUAAAUUCCUACUUCGAGUUAUAAGCCAAUCAUUUGUCUUUCAAAAAGAUAAUAAAUAAAAAAUUUAUUCUUAGUCAUCCCAUACGAUACGUUUGAGAAGUGGCUUUACUUGUUUUAGAAGAGCUCACUAAGGCUCGGGCAGUUAUCAAAAUUAUUCUGAAAUAUCACACCUUUCAUUAGACUUCUGUGUCUAGUAGCCAGUAAAUAUGUCAUCUGGCUAAAUAUUAGCAGUAGCUGAGAGUCAGCAGUGAUAAUUUUUUUUUCUCCCUCAGAAAUUGACUACUCAUAUCCGGAAUUUGAACACUGUGGUAUUGAAAAAAAGAGAGAGAAACCAGAAAAUAUUUUUCUCUUUAUCUUUGGCCAAAUGUGAAGGUUGAAAGGAAUUAAUGACCCUCAGCUAGUACAGCUGACAUUUACAACUGUGACUCAGGUCCUCCCACUCACAAAAGAACAUUGAUAACUUUAAAACUUGCAGGUACUGUGAAGACAGCCCCCAGUCUGCCUACGGGUCUCCUGGUGAGGAGCUCACUCACGUCAACACUCUUGCCACAUAAAGCUCAAAGGAGGAAUUCAGAAUGGGGUAGAAAGAAGGAAGGGAAAUGAGCCCCGAGGGUCAUAAUUAUUAGAGUUCUCAGGGCAGUGGGGAGAGGAAGUGGUAAUUUAAAGUCUUAAAGAGAAACAAGUAAUGAAGAGAAGGAAAAGGAAAGAGGAAAACAGUGAAGUAGAUACAAUUUGGAGAUGAAGUAAUCAUUGGGAAAAAAAAAAAAAACAACAACCAAAAAACAGCUUCCCUAAUCCUCAAUUUACAAUUAUGUUUGUCUAGCAGAACUAGAUUUCAUCGCAAACUUUGGAGAAACAGAUUGAUGCUUUUAGACUCAAUACUAGCUCCUGUGAAGCAGACUAGAGUUGGUAGUCCCUUAAUGAGUCCUGGGUUUCACAAGUAGAGAAUGUGGAAGGGAGCUGGAGAAGGGGGAAGGGGAGGGGCUGGAAAAGAAAACUCUCCUGGAAAAGAUGAAAGGAGGGAAUUAAUGUUAUUCACACUGAGAAGCCUUCAUCGUGGUUCAGUGUGGAAAGGGCUCUCAUGCUGAGUAUUAUGAACAGCUGUUUUCAUUUUGUCCUGAAUGCAGACCCGAGAGAAUAAGCCUGGUCUUAGGAACCCAGGAGGGAGGUAUAGUUUAUCCAUCAGUGGAGUUUUCCAAGCACUGGAUUGAGUAGCCAAGGGAAGCUGAAGAAGCUUUAAAGAUGUUAUGUGAAAAUAUUUCUUGUGAAGAAGACAGGAUGCCUGAUUUCUGAUGUUCUCACGAUGGUCUGGUUAAAGAAGAAAGGCACCAAAUCUCCACCUUAACAGACAAACAGAGAUAUUGAGGGCCAGAUACCCAAGAACCACCAUUUUAUGAACUCUGCAGACUAAAAAAAUGAACUAUACAUUUCUGAGUAGUUCUAGUUCUAUCAGCCUCUGUCAUGAAAAAGUUCCUCAAAUUCUGAUUUCAUCAAAUAAAAAAAAAUCUCUCAGGAAAAUAUUAUAUUGCUGAGUUACCUCCAGGGAAGCAUUGAUGACUAAUUGUAAGCAGAUUGAAAACAGAAAGUAGUCAGUGAAGAACCAGUAUUAAAAAUCAAUGUUUGAAAAUACGUUUGGGACAACUAGGGAUUUAACUGCCUUCUGCUUCUCAGAUGAGCAGCCCUUUGAAAUGCAGCCUGUGAUUGCUGGUCAGAUCAUAUGGAGGUUAAGCGGCCCCUUGGUCAUAUUUUUAAAAGCAAAUAUAGACAGUGACAGUCCUAGAGGGGAAAAUCACAGAUACAUUCAUAUGCGCUUCUUUUGUUCUUGAGAUACUGAGAGGGUCAGCUAAACAAGAUCAUGUUGACUAUGAACCUCUUUGUGUCGGCCACACACACAAAAAUUUUUUCUUAAAAAAAGUUUUCACUUUCCUACAUUUGCUAAGUCCGAGCUUAAAAAAAAUUCUAAAAUCCUGUAAAGACAAUACUGAAGCUGAUAAUAUAAAAAGCAAACUAGAGCAGUAAUGAUUAUUACUAAAUGCACCAGAUUAACUGCAGCAGGUUGGUGAUGGGUGAUAAAUGCAAAGAAAUAAUAUUUCAAUCAACUCAUGAUCAUAGGCAGAUUCAAAAGUUAAAUGAAUAUAAUGUAAUAUAUAUUUCAAUAUAGAGUUGUUAUAUAUAAUGUGUAUGUUCUAGCUUUCAGAAAUACUGCAAUGUAGUGUACUGUACUUAAGUAAGCAUACCUAAAUAGUAACUCAUAUUCUUCCACAAAGUCACUAGUACUGUUAAUUAAAAAAAAAUUCAUUUUUUUCCAGUAAAAAGAAAUACCUAUGGUUACAGUCACAGACUUCUUUUGGAUAUAGAAAGACAAUAUACAGUAAAAAAAAAAAAAAAAAAAAAAGAAAACCCAAAAAACAAAACAAAACAAAAAAACCCCAACAACGAAGAUUGCAACUGUAAGUAGCUUUACUUAAUUGGGGAGGGGGAAAAUCACCAAAAUAGAAGAGGAAAGAAAAUGUCCUCUGAAUUCUGUAAGUUAGCAGAAAUAAUCCACAUAUCACAAAAAAUAAUAAACCAGCUAAAGAAGGGCAUGGGAGUGAGAAAACUGAAUCCGACUAUUUCCAGGCCACCCUUCGAAGUCAGCUAUGACAGCCAGGUCUGUUUAUUCAGAAUAGUACACUAGAGCAUGCUUCCACUUUAAUGUUUGAGAUGGGCAGGAGCCAUCAAUUCUUAGAGAUGACCACGAAAUAUUCUUCCGAGAGUCUAUUGGUUUGCUAGACAUAGUAAACAACCCACUCCUGGAAAGACUUCGACAAAGGCCACAUUGGUUUCAGGAGACACAGUUUGUGAAUGAUGAUGGUUCCCUGCAAAUGCCAGCAGGAUUAGGAAGCUUUAGUUUGGGAGUAAAACUUACAAGUGGGUGGGUGUUUUUGUGCACACACUGGGUUGCAUAGAGGAAAGGAAUGGAGGCCUUUAAGCCAUGGAAUGGCUCAAACUGAAGUCUGUAUGGGCCUUGCCUGACUAGCAUCGGUGCCCCUCCUGCACCCCCCGCAAAGGGGCCAGGGGUACCCCAGACGGCUGUUCCCUCUUGUCUACUUGCCAGUUGAGUGUGUCUGUUCUACCUUCUUCUGGAGGCAAACAGCCUGUCACUGUGGGUUUGCUGUGGAUCCAACAAGCUGCCUCUGUUUCUCCCAACUCUGAAAUGCUACAAAAAGCAACAGAGUGGGCAGGUGACUGCUUCCUGGGAAGGGAGCCACAAGUCUUGAGCAUGAUGGUGGGAAGAGGCAAAUGUAUCUAUGCACCAGGACCUAUGCUGGUGUGUGCGUUGUUUGAGAUGCACACGUACUCUCAGACUACAACAAGUACACACGCAAAUACACAUGCACGCACAUGUCAGUAAAUCCAGUAGAAGGGCAGUUUGUUAAGUGCACUCUACUCCACACAAGCAAGUUCAAGUGUCUCAUGAAAGGGGUACAGAGAUAUUACUGAUGCUUGGGCUCCUUCAGAAUGCCUUAGAGCCUCAUCACAGAUAGUGGGCGGCACUUGUGCACCCAACUAAGGCAACAGAGCAGAAGCAGAUAAAUGAGAUAUGCGAGAUCUUUGACUAACUAGAAAUUCCAGACUCUAUCUUGUUGCUGGGGACUAUGCAUGUGGAAUAGUGUGGUGGUGAGAGCACCCCACACUGCGUGUGUACAUGCAUAAUAUGUACUCAUUUACAGACAUUUUGGACAGCAGCUGUGACAUACUAGAUGGGUUAAGUCCCUUUCAUUACUAGAAUCUACAUAUAAAUUGUAAUGAUUUUGCUGGGCAAUAGCAAACUUCUGUUGCAAAAGUAGUAGAAACAGAUGUCUUCUAGGGGGUUAAUUUUUUUUUUCCUGUCUUGGGUGUAUCAGAAUCUCAUUGAAGCAUUUUGAAUCAAGGAAACCUCUGAGCUGGCAAGAGGGCUAGUUAGGGACUUUUUAUACCCUAAUUAGGCAUCUCAAGAGCCAGGACUCCCGGAACUGUGGCAAAAAUUUCCCUCCAAUCUGCAGACUGUGCUCCUUCACUGAAGACUCGAAAGUUGUGAGUUUGCAUUUCAACAAAGAACCACCAGAUAAACCAGAUGCUCACUGAAACU
rnacentral:lncRNA from 1 species